AAAGGAAUAGACGGGGGCCCGCACAAGCAGCGGAGCGUGUGGUUUAAUUCGAUGCAACACGAAAAACCUCACCAGGGUUUGACAUGUCGGAAGUAGCGAACCGAAAGGGAAACAAACUGUCAAGUCAGUAGCCGAUACAGGUGCUGCAUGGCUGUCGUCAGCUCGUGCCGUGAGGUGUAUGGUUAAGUCCUGCAACGAGCGCAACCCUCGUGGUUAGUUGAAUUCUCUAGCCAGACCGCCCCGCAAAACGGGGAGGAAGGUGGGGAUGACGUCAAGUCAGCAUGGCCUUUAUACCCUGGGCUACACACACGCUACAAUGGGUGGUACAAUGGGUAGCAACAACGCGAGUUGAAGCCAAUCCCUUAAAACCAUCCUCAGUUCAGAUUGCAGGCUGAAACUCGCCUGCAUGAAGUAGGAGUUGCUAGUAAACGCAAAUCAGCAUGUUGCGUUGAAUACGUUCUCGGGCCUUGUACACACCGCCCGU
rnacentral:rRNA from 1 species